rnacentral:piRNA from 2 species
CAAUGGUUCCCAAGGAAAUGGA